UACGUAGGGUGCGAGCGUUAAUCGGAAUUACUGGGCGUAAAGUGUGCGCAGGCGGCCGAGCAAGUCGAGUGUGAAAGCCCCGAGCUUAACUUGGGAAUUGCGCUCGAAACUACUUGGCUGGAGUGUGGCAGAGGAAGGUGGAAUUCCAGGUGUAGCGGUGAAAUGCGUAGAGAUCUGGAGGAACACCGAUGGCGAAGGCAGCCUUCUGGGCCAACACUGACGCUCAUGCACGAAAGCGUGGGGAUCAAACAGG
rnacentral:rRNA from 1 species